GACGAACGCUGGCGGCGUGCCUAAUACAUGCAAGUAGGACGCAGUUGCGAACGGGUGAGUAACGCGUAGGUAACUACCUAUUAGAGGGGGAUAACUAUUGGAAACGAUAGCUAAUACCGCAUACUAGUAGAUGGACCUGCGUUGUAUUAGCUAGUAGGUAGGGUAAUGGCCUACCUAGGCAACGAUACAUAGCCGACCUGUGAUGGGUGACGGGCACACUGGGAAUGGGGAAAGGGCCAAACUCCUACGGGAAGCAGCAGUAGGGAAUCAUCGGAAAUGGGGGGAACCCUGACCGAGCAACGCCGCGGGAGGGAAGAAGGGUUUCGGAUCGUAAAGCUCUGUUGUUAAGGGAGCGGUACUUAACCAGAAAGGGACGGCUAACUACGUGCCAGCAGCCGCGGUAAUAC
rnacentral:rRNA from 1 species